UACGGAGGGUGCAAGCGUUAUCCGGAUUCACUGGGUUUAAAGGGCGCGUAGGCGGGCACGCAAGUCAGGGGUGAAAUCCUCCGGCUCAACCGGAGAACAGCUUUUGAUACUGCGUGCCUCGAGGGGGGUAGGGGCAUGUGGAACUUCCGGUGGAGCGGUGAAAUGCGUAGAUAUCGGAAGGAACGCCGGUGGCGAAAGCGACGUGCUGGACCCCUUCUGACGCUGAGGCGCGAAAGCCAGGGGAGCAAACGGG
rnacentral:rRNA from 1 species